rnacentral:rRNA from 1 species
ACAACUACAGGUGGUGGAUC